CCUACGGGUGGCAGCAGUGGGGAAUGUUGCGCAAUGAUCGGAAGAGUGACGCAGCGACGCCGCGUGAAUGACGAAGGCCUUCGGGUCGUAAAGUUCUUUCGACAGGGAAGAAAAUGCCUAUAAGUAACUGUGUAUGUAUUGACGGUACCUGUAUAAGCAGCCCCGGCUAACUCCGUGCCAGCAGCCGCGGUAAUACGGAGGGGGCGAGCGUUGUUCGGAGUGACUGGGCGUAAAGAGCACGUAGGCGGUGUGGUAAGUCAUUAGUCAAAGACUAGAGCUCAAGUUUAGUAAGGCUAGUGAGACUGUAAGACUAGAGUAGAAGAGAGGAUUGCUGAAUGCGUGGUGUAGCGGUGAAAGGCGUAGAUAGCAGGAGGAAUACCGUGGGAGAAGGAGGCAAUCUGGCUGGAAUCGGACGCGGAGGUGCGAAAGCGUGGGUAGCAAACAGGAUGAGAUACCCGAGUAGUC
rnacentral:rRNA from 1 species